rnacentral:lncRNA from 1 species
AAAAUUCUCAAAAAUGAAAAGGGAGAAAUUGAAUUUUUGUCUUUUUACUUGACUUAGAGUUUGUAUUAUGCUUACUAAAGUUGAUGAAUUGUUGAAACUUCUAUUGAAUUCAAGCUUAGUUCUUCCACUUUAAGCUAUUCACACACUGUGCACAAUAGGUUCCGAUUAUAAGAUGAAAAACUAUUUCCCUCUUAACUUAGGAAA